rnacentral:rRNA from 1 species
AAUGAACGCUGGCGGCAUGCCUAACACAUGCAAGUCGAACGAAGUCCUUCGGGGCUUCGUGGCGCACGGGUGCGUAACGCGUGGGAAUCUGCCCCUUGGUUCGGAAUAACAGUUGGAAACGACUGCUAAUACCGGAUGAUGACGUAAGUCCAAAGAUUUAUCGCCGAGGGAUGAGCCCGCGUAGGAUUAGGUAGUUGGUGUGGUAAAGGCGCACCAAGCCGACGAUCCUUAGCUGGUCUGAGAGGAUGAUCAGCCACACUGGGACUGAGACACGGCCCAGACUCCUACGGGAGGCAGCAGUGGGGAAUAUUGGACAAUGGGCGAAAGCCUGAUCCAGCAAUGCCGCGUGAGUGAUGAAGGCCUUAGGGUUGUAAAGCUCUUUUACCCGGGAUGAUAAUGACAGUACCGGGAGAAUAAGCGCCGGCUAACUCCGUG